rnacentral:rRNA from 1 species
UACGAAGGGGGCUAGCGUUGUUCGGAAUUACUGGGCGUAAAGCGCGUGUAGGUGGUUGUCCAAGUUGGAUGUGAAAGCCUUGAGCUCAACUCAAGAAAUGCAUUCAGGACUGGGCGGCUAGAGGACCGGAGAGGAUAGUGGAAUUCCCAGUGUAGUGGUGAAAUACGUAGAGAUUGGGAAGAACACCAGUGGCGAAGGCGGCUAUCUGGACGGUUUCUGACACUAAGACUCGAAAGCGUGGAGAGCAAACAGG